UACGUAGGGGGCUAGCGUUGUCCGGAUUUAUUGGGCGUAAAGAGCGUGUAGGCGGCCAGGUAGGUCUGCUGUGAAAACUCGAGGCUCAACCUCGAGACGUCGGCGGAAACCAUCUGGCUAGAGUCCGGAAGAGGAGAGUGGAAUUCCUGGUGUAGCGGUGAAAUGCGCAGAUAUCAGGAAGAACACCCGUGGCGAAGGCGGCUCUCUGGGACGGUACUGACGCUGAGACGCGAAAGCAUGGGGAGCAAACAGG
rnacentral:rRNA from 1 species